CUGCAAUCAAUUUCAUUAUCUCAGAUAGCCAAUCGUACAAGAGCAUUCCUUUGACCAAUAACACCGGCGGAUUUUCUAGACUAGACCAAUCGUGUAUAGACUAGCCCCUGUGAUGACCUGUCUGAAACCCCAAAGUGUCGCGUCGUUCGUCUGCCAGCCGUCUGAUGUGACAGACAUACCUCGCAACUCCCAUUACAAAAGGGCAGCACGACCGCUGUGAAUCCUUUGUACUUCAAGCCGUGUCUAACCCAAGACAACAGGAUCUUAUUGGUGCCAUCAAGACGGAUCAACUGCAGCUGCAAUGUUCAUGUUGGGACUUAUCCCGGUGAGAGGUUGUCCGAUGCCAUCUCCACGGCUAGCUGUACGGUGACGUCCAGGAGAUCGGUGCUCGUGUGAAAGCCCUGUCGGAGGACCCGAAACUAAGUUAAGUUCUUGUGUGCCUUAUGGGGUGUGAAACGGAAACAUAUUGUAGAGAUGGUCUGGGACUAACUUGUCGGCAUGAUAGGAAGUAAACAAUUUGUGCGGUCUCUUAUGUAUUAAACUAUAGGCCGGUGUCUCUGACAUCGGUCUGUGGUAAAGUGC